UCUAAGGAUCCUGAAACUUUUCUUGUUCUAAGCACUAUCACCUCACCAUCGGACAAAUUUUGUUCUGUGAUUAAAGUUUUAGUUGCUUAAUCUCAUUGAUUAAUCAUAAACACUUGUGGUUCUUUUUGAAAUGGUAAUAUUUGAGUCAACACAUUAAUUCUGUGAGAAUUCAUCAUGUCUCCAGACAAGCUGCUGCUUAGAGCCUAUUCUUCUGUAGUGAAGGCCCCAUCACCAUGGCAACACCCAGCCGUUUCAUGGGGCCCAGUUGAUGCACUGCAUAGGUAAAGCAUCCAUAUGGAACAGCAGAGUGACAAAGCCUGCUGCCAAUAACUUGAUGCACAGUAAAGCUUGCAGAGGAAGCAAGGACAAAAAUAUUUCUAUAGUUGCCUUAUAUAAGCAGAGAGAACUCUACAACGAAGGUCAAAACUGGCCUUUUGGGAAAACGGAUAAUUCAGACUACUGCUUCUUUGUCUAGAAGUUACACCCUCUCCUGAUGAAGGCUCUCCCAGAGUCAGAGUCUGUUAGUUCUGUCACCAGUCCAGUAUAUCUACUAAAGCAAAAAGAGAGAGAGAAGAGAAUGGAACUCAAAUGCCACGUGUCUUAAAUGCUGAGAACUGUGGUCUGGCAGAACAUCAUCUGUGAGGAGAGACCAAAAAAGAAAUAAAAAAAGAAAAAGCUGCCUUUU